CCUAAGUCGUACUUAAUGGGGUAAAUAAAUCUAAAUCUGAGUGGUUAGUCAUAUUGGUAUAUAUAUCAGACAUCUCUGGCAAUUCCUUGUAUAGUUCAGCAAAAGGACACCUUAGACUUUAUAACAUUUAAGAAUAAUUAUAAACCGACCAGAAUGAAAUUAUUUGCUAUCUGUGUCCUCCUGAUGGUUGUUCUGGCUAGUUUUAGUGUUAGUGCAAUGGAAGAAAGUGGACGUUACAAGAGGAACGCAUUUUGGGGUGGCAGAGGUGGAUGGGGAGGUGGAUUUAGAGGAGGUUUUGGAGGUGGAUUCGGACGACGAGGAGGUUGGGGAGGUGGAUUCAGAAGAGGAGGAUGGGGAGGCGGAUACCAUGGAUAAACUAUUUAUGUGAAGACUUACGACUUAUGGAAUGCAGCAUACUGACCUCUUAUAUAUGUUAUACUUUAAUAUCUGUAAUAAAUUGCAUCACUAAAA